CAAGAAUCGAAGUACUCGAAAUUCGACUCCCGAAAUAGGAUGCGAAAAUUGAUAUUAAAGCCUUACGAGGUUCCAGUUGGCAUUCUUGGCAAUGAAUGUCUAUCGGGACGUUGCGACGGUUGUCACGGGCUCGAGGGGAGUAUCAGGUCGUGACAGUAUAUGGCAUUGGAAUGUGGAAAGUUAACAAGAUGCAAGAUUAAUUUGCCCUUUGGAAUGGCAAUAUGACUCAAUUGAAGGGGAACAAUUAUAGACCAUGCAUUGUACUUUUUUCUACUUUUGACCAAUUUUUGUUCCACUGGGUUUUUGCGGCUUAAGAUUUUUAAUGAAGCAAUAUAAUGGACAUUCAAGGGAUAAACCCUAUAAGUGGCAACAUGGCUUAAUUGAGGGUUAGCAAUUAUGGACCAUGCACUAUACUCUUUUUUCUUUUUGACUGGUUUUUGUCCCGUUGGGUUUUUUCGGCUUAAAAUUUUUAAUGAGACAGUACAACGGAUAUUCAAGGGGGAGUGUUAUAGAUAUAUGUGAAUAUUCAUUGUAUUUGAUAAUAUCCAAUGUAUCUCCUAUAUCCAAUGCACAUAUUUAUGUUGGUACAUCUUUAUCUCUUGAUUUCAUUCA